UCUCCGUUGGUGAGCCAGCGGAGGGAUCAUUACAGGACUCGCAAGACUCCUACAACCCUGUGAACUUAACUAUAAGCACGUUGCUUCGGCGGGUGUCUCGGAGGGGGGCUUACGUUUUCACACAAACUUUGCAUGCAGUGUAGAAUGUAUUUUUUGUUUUUGCGAUCACGCAAUCAAUACAACUUUCAACAACGGAUCUCUUGGCUCUC
rnacentral:misc_RNA from 1 species